rnacentral:rRNA from 1 species
GUGGGGAAUAUUGGACAAUGGGGGGAACCCUGAUCCAGCCAUGCCGCGUGUGUGAAGAAGGCCUUUUGGUUGUAAAGCACUUUAAGCGAGGAGGAGGCUACCGAGAUUAAUACUCUUGGAUAGUGGACGUUACUCGCAGAAUAAGCACCGGCUAACUCUGUGCCAGCAGCCGCGGUAAUACAGAGGGUGCAAGCGUUAAUCGGAUUUACUGGGCGUAAUGCGCGCGUAGGUGGCCAAUUAAGUCAAAUGUGAAAUCCCCGAGAUUAACUUGGGAAUUGCAUUCGAUACUGGUUGGCUAGAGUAUGGGAGAGGAUGGUAGAAUUCCAGGUGUAGCGGUGAAAUGCGUAGAGAUCUGGAGGAAUACCGAUGGCGAAGGCAGCCAUCUGGCCUAAUACUGACACUGAGGUGCGAAAGCAUGGGGAGCAAACAGGAUUAGAUACCCGUGUAGUCC